rnacentral:lncRNA from 1 species
UGAUCUAUUACUAAUAAUGUUUUAUAGUUUUCUCUUUCAGUGAGUUAUUGUUGUAAGUCCUUGCCAAAUUUUAAUGAGGAACCCCGCUGACACACUUGUGGGAACUUGUGAGGAUUACAGACAUGUAGCCCUCAAUGUUGUCUUCAGAGAUCACGUAAAGAGAGCUGCAGUGUUCAUCAGUCUCCGUUCGGUUACCUUCUCCUGGUGACUCCCUUUUCUCUUCCAUUCCCUCAGAAAUGGAGCCCCAGUGUCGUGGUGCCUGGAGCACCAGCUUUCAGAAGGACUUGUGUCUCCUCCAGCAAGUGAUUCUUACAACAGGCACCACGAAGUGUCACCACAGUGGAAAUGUCUCAUCUGGGUGUCACUUAAACUGAAACCAAUUAAGAAACAUCUGCAGACAACAGAACAGUGUCAAGUGUGAACAAUGAAAUCUCUUCUAAGAGAAGAGAGAGAGUAGAGCACGCUCUCAGCAAGACUGGGAAAGCUCUGUCCAAACAAAAACCAUGUUUAUGUCCUCACUGUAACUCCAGUGUGUUGCAACCUGUCUCUCAAGAGCACUGUAAACCAAGACUGAGCUGGCCCAGACAUUGCAAUCAGCAAUACUAAUCAAAUUUCAAACACCAUCAUCAGCUAGUGUGGUUUAGGUACAGUUCUUAUAAGACAUAGGAACAUAAAGCAAUGAUUGCUUGCUUAUGAAGAAGAUAUUUUACUUUAAACUGAUUUUUUUUUCUUUUUUUUUAAUUCUCAAGAUCUCACUAGAGAGCCUUGUAAAGGUUAUAUGGAGACAUUUUGCCUGUCUCUAACCCAAUUUCAUUUCUUUUAUGCUUCAUCUGAAGUCACUGGAAUUGUCAUGUUUCUUUAUGGGAUAAUUAUAACAUCCCUGUAAGGUUUUAUUACCUAAACACACUGGUAUAUAUUCUCAACACUAACUCUAGUUUAAUAUGUAUUUUUAAAUAAUUAAUAUGUAGCCUAGACAAGCAUGUGGUGCAGGAGAGAAAUUAGAAGUCAGGAGUGUCUCUGAGGGAAAGAUGUACCCUGUCCACAUUACUACCCUCCCCAUAAGAAUGGCCAAGAGGGUUUAGACUCAAAAAAAAUUGGAACCAUCACAUUGCUGGUUCCUUUCUGCUGCUAAAACAGACUUUUACACAAUAUUGUCAACCUGAAGAAGCAAAAAAAAAAAAUGAGAU